rnacentral:rRNA from 1 species
AUCGAACGCUAGCGGGAUGCCUUACACAUGCAAGUCGAACGGAGUGGCGAACGGGUGAGUAAUGUAUCGGAACGUGCCCAGUAGCGGGGGAUAAAUACGCGGAAGAGUAGCUAAUAACGCAUACUAUUGGAUCGGCUGAUAGCGGCUUAGCUAGUUGGUUGGGUAAUGGCUCACCAGGGCAACGAUCCGUAGGUGGUUUGAGAGGAGGACCCGCCAUCCUGGGACUGAGACACGGCCCCGCCUCUUACGGGAGGCAGCAGUGGGGAAUUUUGGACAAUGGGGGAAACCCUGCUCCAGCCAUCCCGCGGGGGCGAUGAGGGCCUUCGGGUUGUAAAGCGCUUUUGGCAGGAAAGCGGUACCUACAGAGUAAGCACCGGCUAACUACGUGCCAGCAGCCGCGGUAAUAC